CUGUCCCGCUGCUCACUGCGAAGUAUGGAUUUGAUUCCAUCAUUCUUUGUCUCUUUGAGCCAACCUCGUACCCGUCCGAAACCCCCCCGCUUCCCAACAUUGCCCUUCAAAUUUCCAUACCCAAAAAAAAACAAUCCCCCACUCAACAUGUUAAUAAAGCCAAACCCAACCCUCUUUUCCCUGACACUUAAUUUUAAUUCCUAUUACUCAUAAUAUUCAUCACAACACCCACAGCCAAACAUCAUAGAAAAAAAAAAUAACAACAGAUCAAUCAGACCACCUAUAGAGAUAGAGAGAACCACACAAAGACCAUAAAAAUAUAUUUCUAUCCAAUACAUUCAUUAUGCAGGACAUAUAUAAAAGAAAAAAUCAUAGAUAAGUUUGCACAAAUUACAAUCAUAAGGUAUGCAAGAUUAAUACUUAAUAGUGAAGUAACAUACCAAAUGUUACACUAACACGGCUUAAAAGGCUAGUUAAUUUAAAAAACAUGUAAACACAAAAUAAGCACAAUUUGAUUGAUUGCAACAACACAUUAUUGACCCUGACCAGGUUAAAAGAAAAUUAGAUGUGCUCACAGAGACUCCAUAUCAUAUCAGGCAUAUUAUAGGAUAUUAAAUUAUUAAAAAUAAAAACGCAAAAGUUUAAGGGAGAAAAGAAAGCAUAUUCCUGGCCUGGGACCUGAUAGAUAUGUUGUUUGGCGAAGCCAACCCAGAAAAGCCCACACAUAAGAAGUCAAUACAAUUUCAUGCAACAAACAACCUCAAUCACCCUAUAACCAAAGCACAUAUCUACCAUAAACAAUAAAAUCAAACAAAACUAAAUGCAAACACGAUUUCUAAUCAUAAGCAACACCACACAGAAAUAAAACCCCAGCAAUUACAAAAAGAACAAAUAAAUUGGAAGGAAAAGGCACGCAGAAUAAAAAAAAUGAAGUUAGGUUGACAUACCCUCGGGGACCAUACAUGUUACCAAGAUCGCCGAAAGAUCGAGCGAAAGGCGCUUCCGUGGACGGAGGAAGACGAUACGGAUCCAGCGCUACAAUCGCACGAGAGAGGAAUCCCAAAUUGAAC
rnacentral:lncRNA from 1 species